AGAAGAAGAAAAGAAGGAAAAAGAAGAAGAAGAAGAAGAAGAAGAACAGGAAGAAGCCGUGGAGGAGCAAGGGUGAGGAGGAGAUUUCGAGCAAGGAGAGAGCUUUUCAUUCAUCCUUUUCAUCAUCUCUCUCAUUCCAAUCAGCCAAGGAUUCGAGUAGAAGAGGAACUUGGACAGCAAGGAGCAGAUUAUCCAAGCUUCAUUCUUCCAUUCUUUUCAGAUCAAGAAAUCAAGAUGGUGACCACCACGGUAUUGGAGACUAUCGUGAGAUGGGAGAUCGUUCUGAGUAGGCCAGCGGAAGACCGGCUCUAGGAGACCGACGGUUCCGGAGUCCGGAGAGUCUGCGUCGGCGAUGCGGUGCUCUUAGGGAGGAACAGAUCUGGGACGGCUGUGGAGAGGCAGAUCCUUAGUGAUGGGACUGUUGUGCUGCCACAUCCUCCCGCUAGGUUUCAUCAGACUACAGUGGGACCUCGGAAGAGCGUGAUAAAGCUGGAGCGGUCUAAGAAGAGAGUGCGUGGAGCGGGAGCUGACGUUCCGGAGCGGGAUCAGGAUUAGAGUGUUCCUUUCUGUGGGGCUGAGAAUUCGUGUCGAACUAUUAUUUAUCAUUUUUAUUUUCGGGGUUUUCUUUUGAUGUACUUGUUGUAGGGCUUUAGCCCAAGGUUUCAUUUAUGUACUUUGGAAUUACAGUU